rnacentral:rRNA from 1 species
UCGUAACAAAGGUUUCCGUAGGUGAACCUGCGG